GAAAGAUUUUUGAAAAAAUUUCACUCAUCCUCCCAUCACUCCUUAAAUCACACUCGAACCUCAUUUAAAUUACAUUUAAAUCACUUUUAAGAUCUCAUCCGAAUCGCAGUCAAUACCUUACUAUCAUCGAGCUCAACCUAACUUUAUCGCAUUCGGCCUCAUAAAUAUCAACAUCAUCGCAUUGUCACACCUCUGAGAUAAGCAUCGUUUGAGCCACCUCGCAAAAAAAACCUAUAAUAAUAGCAACCACCUAAACACCAAAUAUCGUUUCCAAAAGUGAAAGGUAAACAAAACAAAUAUUAUUGAAGUACCUACUUUGCCAUCUUACUCACAUUUUAAUUUACAUAUCAUAUCAUUUUAAGUAUGCUUUGAUUAAAACUUAAAUAUCAAACUUAGGAUAUAUGUAGAUCGGUGGUUGUUAAAGACACCACCAACUUUGACCUUAAUCCUUUAAAUGUUGGUUUAUUGGCUUGUAUGGACUCUGUAUGCUAAAUAACUCAAAACAUGGCAAAUAUGACAUAAUUAGCUAAGAUAAUAAAAUAGCAAAAGUGGACUUAAUGAUGAUUCAAGUUAAGUAAAACAAG
rnacentral:lncRNA from 1 species